rnacentral:lncRNA from 1 species
GAGUAAUUAAACGUUUCACAAUUAGGAAACUAAAUUUAUUGUUAUAACCCGGAUUUUCCAACAAAAUUGACCUAUUUCUAUUUAAACCAUGAUCAUGAGCAAGUGCAUAAAUAUACUCCUGAAAGAUAAGUGGAUAUAGGAAGUUGUGUUGUUGCGAGCUAUCUAGCUGUAAAUAUCUUUGGAUUUCUUCCAUUUGAAAUUCGAUUUGAACCAAAGAUGGAAGAUUUUUAGGGUUAUCAAAUGAUACAUAGUGCGAUACAGUUAAAACAAAGCAUUAUAGUAAUAAUAGAUACCUUGGAUACAGGUAAACUUCUCAACGGAUUCUCUAUCAUCUCUUUUUUUUUGUUUCAGUUAAUUGGUCUAUGUUAUAGUAUUAUAGGAUAAUAAGAUGGUUAGAAAUCCUUUAUUUUUUCAACCUAAUCGCUCUUUUGACUUCGGAAAAAACUUUCUUUAUCAAUAUACUGUUUCUUCUACACACACAUCUCCAUAAUCGAAAAUGUUAAUAGUUAGGAUUCAUUAAAAAAAUCGAGAAUCCACUCAUGGGACAAGAAACCCUUCCCGCAUCAGGCACUAAUAAAUUUUUAACGUCUAAUUAGAUCGGGAAUCAUUCAAAUUAAGAACAAAAGCUCGUUGCUUUUUCUUUCCCGAUAAUUUAAUUGAAGCCGCAGCUCUAUCCAUUUAUUCAUUCGACCCAACUUUAUUUUGUUCCGUUCCAAGAAUUCUAACACGGUUUUAUACCCAUCUAGGAACAAUGAAAUAUUUUCAGAACUUUCCGUUGAUACGACAUGCUAUUUUUACCAUUCAUUCCCUUUCAGGAUCAGUCGUGGUCUUCCAAACUUUACCGAGAGUAUGGACGAAUCCCUCACUUCAUCCAUAUGUGUAAAAGACACUAGCCGCACUUAAAAGCCGAGUACUCUACCGUUGAGUUAGCAACCCGAAGAAAAUAUCGAAAAAAUGGUGUAGAUCCAAUCCGAAGAAAAAGAAAUAAAGAGAUUAGACAAGACAACCCAAAACCAUUGAAAGAAGAAAUCUAAAAAAAUAAAUUCACACUUUCUAAUUAAUUUAAAAGAUAAAAUAAAACUAAAUAGAUCCACUUCAUUUAUCAAUUUAUCACAAUGAAUUAUAUUUGUUCGAUACACUGUUGUCAAUAUGAAUAUUAAAAAAAAAAUAAAAGAAAUUUCAAUUGAAAAUAAUAAAAAAAAAAAAGGACUUGUGUUGGAUUGGCACUACAAAUAUAACCAAACCAAAUAAAAUCGAUAGAAAAAAGUAUAGAUGACAGAAUAAAUAAAGAAUAAGUGAAAAACAAAACUACAAUUUACUUAGAUUUAUUGAAUCCAUAAUGGAUUCAAUCAAGUUAAGUGAUAAAAGAAAACUUGAUUUCUUUGUUAGCUUUAGUAGAGUUCCAAUGAAAAACGGAAAACCAACCGAAAUGCCCGAAUUUAUUAUUUCUAAGAUCAAUAAAAUAAGAGGUUUUGUCGUUAUAGAACAUGGAAUUCGAUGGAAGCAAUGAUAAAUAAAUACAAAUAGAAAAGGAAAGGGAGGAAAUACAAAAAAAUAGAAGAGAAAAGUCAUACAAAGUUAUAUACAAAUCACUACCCCCCCUUUUUUGUAUUUCCUUAAUUUAUUUCCUUAAUUGAAUUUUGGUUGAUUAGGACGAAGUUCCUUAAAAACCUCCGCCUUCUUUAAAAUAUCCUGAACAGUUCCUGUAGGUUGAGCCCCCUUUUCAAGGAAAUAUAAAAUAGCAGGAACAUUUAAAUAAGUUUGAUUCUUUAUCGGAUCAUAAAAAGCCACUUUCCGAAGAUCUUUUCCUUCUCUUCGGGAUCGAACAUCAAUUGCAAUGAUUCUAUAGACGGCUCAUUGGGAUAGAUUUAGAUGAGCAACACCACCUAAAAAUGUAUAGAAAGCUAUGUCCUCGUACGGAUCGAGAAAAUGAUUGAUUCGGGGUUUUCGUUUUGUCUCUGUAUGUAUGGAAUUUAUUUAAGAAAUGACAAUUGGGUCCAUAAAAUGAUCAAAUGAAUUAAAGUUGUAAGUCCUUUUUUUUUCUUAUUUCUUCCUAAUAAUGAAAAAAACCAUUCGUACUCUCAUAACUCAAGUUGGAUAACUUUCAAACAGUUCAAACGAAAAUCUUUCGGUAAUUUCAUUUAUUGAGCGGUCUUUCCACGUUUUUGGUUUGUCUCGUCUAAAAUCGGAUUCUUCAGCCUGAUCCAGUUAUUAAGACAAUUAAAAGGUGUUUCCUUGUUCUGGGAUCCUUUAUCUUUAUUUUAUUUUAAAUCAUUGGAUUUAGACAUUACUUUGGUGCUUUUUAAUCCUUUCAAAAUGGCAGCAACAUACCCUUUUUGGGAUUUCUAGGAAAGAAUUCUAGAAGACGAUGGAUUCCCUCGUGAAACACUUUGGAUCGAAAAAUUUUGAUCAAUUCAAAGAAAUUUUGGAAUUUUUAACUUGAUCGAAUUGGAUUCUUUCGAUUUCCACGACGAAGAUAUAUUUACGAAGUUAUUUCAUUUUUUUUAUUGAUUGGCAUUAAUCCUAGAUCCCUGCCCCAAGAAAUAAAUUAAUACUUUCUACUCGAGCUCCAUCAUGGACUAUUUAUAUUCCAAGACAACAAAAAGUGAGGGGUUCUAGUGAAACAGAACCAAUGAUGUCGAGCCAAGAGCACCUUCAUUCCUACAUAAAAUGGUGGAUGUAAAAAUCCACAACGGAUCGUGUCCUUUAAGUCGCACGUUGCUUUCUACCGCAUCGUUUCAAACGAAGUUUUGCCAUAACAUUCUUCUAAGAACCAGUAUGGAAUUGACUCAAUUAUGAAAUCAUGAAUAGUCAUUGGUUGGGCUGAUGUAUAAACACCAUAAUCUAUAGUAUAGAGAUAUAAAGGGAUAUAAAUAAUACUAUAGAUAUAGGUGGAUAAAGAUUUUUCUGAAGAAGUCUCUUAGUAAGAGCCCAUCGCUAAUAUUAAUUUGUCUAACAUAUUAUAUUAAUUAAUACAUAUUAUAUUAAUUAAUAUAUUUAUUAAAUAUUUAUUAAAUUAUUUAUAUAAAUAUAUAAAUAAUAAAAUAUAUAAUAUAUAUAAAUAAUAAAAAAUAAGACGAAUAAAUGAAAUUUUUUUUAUUCAGCAUCUUCAUGUGACUUAAUAGGAGAGAAAGAUUCAGUUUAUAAGGAAUAAUUAAAACUAUUUCUCUUUCUAACUUUUGAAUAAAUUUAGAAAGUUCUCUUUCCGACAUCACAUCAUUAUUCAAAGAAAAUUUGAUAGUUAAAAAUAACUUUUGAUCAUCUUAGGAAAAAAGAUAAGUCUUUUUUUAAAGUGAAUCAUCAACGAUUUAAAUGAUUUACAUUUAAUGAUUUACAAUAGAUAAAUACACCAAAAAGCAAAUACAAUUUUAUUUAUGAGUUAUGAGAUAGAUAAAAAAAAGAUUAAUGUCAGGUAAGGUUUGAAUUCUUAUUCUUUUUUUUCAUCUGAUUGAUAAAAUACAAAGAAUGGGGAGGUGUUUGUAUCUAUCAAUUCGAUCAAAUAGACUGAGAAAUUGUCACCCUUUAUAGAUAUUAAAAUGAAUGCCUUCUCAUUACUGAUUAACUCCUAUCCACCCCAUUUUAUGGGACAGAUGCAGCAUAAAUCAAAAGAAAAUAAGGGGGCGUCCUAGUUUUUUUUAUUUUUCCAAAAUGCGAGUUGUCUAGGCACAAAGCCAAACAAGUCCAGAUUAAGUCCUGUUUUUGCUCCUUUUUUUGCUAUUUUAGCCUAACUCAUUGAUUAAGAAUUAAGAGACUUAGUGAAUUUAAUUAGUACCAAAACCCCACUCUUGAUGAAAAGUAAAGAAAUCUACAAAAAAGAAAAUUAAAUCUAAUUAGUUUAAUUUAGGGGGUAGAAAAUACGAGAUAGGGAAUCUGGAUUCUUCCGCAUCUCGAUUCAGUUUUUGAAAAGAAAAAGAUUCAUCAAAAAAAAAAAUCAGAAACAACAAUCACUUUCCAUCUAACAUUUCGAUUUUAAACAGAACAUUGUUAAAAAAGCAAUCUAUAUACUCAUAGAAUAUAUAUGUUCUCGGAUGGAGGAUUCGAACCUCCGAAUAGUGGGAUCAAAACCUGUUGCCUUACCGCUUGGCCACACCCUAUUUAGAUAUCUAUCCGAUACUAAAAAAGUAUAUUGCUGGUUUUGUUUGUUUGUCAACUCUAGUUCAAAUAUCUAUAGAAUAGAUUAAAUUGGUACUGGGAUUUUGCUAUGUUUUUGGUAUGUGUAGAUAUAGAAUUCAACUUAAUUUAUUGAUCAUUACAUAUAAUUUCAUUAAGAUAUUGUAUGAAAAUAUGAUUUUUUUCAAUUCUCCUUUGAGAAAAGGAGGAUUUUUGAUUGGGUGGGUUCAAAGAAAAAGAAUGACUUUUUGUUUACCUUACUUACUUUUCUUUUCCUUAUAUCAAUAAAUCAAUCAAAAUGCAAUUAUCUCCAAGAACAAAAAGUCUGUUAUGCUUAAUACCUUUAGUUUGAUCGGUAUCUGUCUUAAUUUGACCCUUUAUUCGAGUAGUUUUUUCUUCGGCAAAUUGCCCGAGGCCUAUGCUUUUUCGAAUCCAAUCGUAGAUAUUAUGCCAGUCAUACCUCUGUUCUUUUUUCUCUUAGCCUUUGUUUGGCAAGCUGCUGUAAGUUUUCGAUGAGAUCCUUAAUAAUAUCCUAGAAAAUUCAUGAUUUAUUCGAGAAAAAAUUCUACAAUAAAUCAAAUCAGAUAAGCUUUACCAUUUGAAAUCUCGAUUCAAACAUUGAAAUUCUUGGAUAGUCACGAGAAAUCCGGCUUAACUUAUUUCCUUCUUUUUUUGCACUUUCCUUUCGAGUGAAAGACCUUAUUAGGCUCCUCUUGUGUAUAUAAAAAUUUGGUUAAUGACAAACUCUUAUUAGAAAAGAAUUUAGAAAAAUUCUUUUAGAGAAAGAGCUUCGUUGGUUGGUGUCAAACUAGGAUAUGCGGUAGAAAAAUGGAUGAUCUAUUCCCUUUUUUUUUUCAAAAAAAAAAUCAUCUUGGAGAUUGUAUAAUUCUUACUCUAAAACUCUUCGUUUACAUAGUAGUGAUAUUUUUUGUUUCUCUCUUCAUCUUUGGAUUCCUAUCUAAUGAUCCCGAUGUAAUCCUGGACGUGAAGGAUAAAAUAAAAAUGUUUUUCGUUUCUUGAUUUUCAAAUUUUCUUAGAAUUUGGUUUAUUCCACACAUUUAACUAAGAAUAAGAACAAAGGAUUUCGAAAUUUGAAAAAAAAAAUCAAGUCAUCAACGGAAAGAGAGGGAUUCGAACCCUCGGUACGAUUAACUCGUACAACGGAUUAGCAAUCCGCCGCUUUAGUCCACUCAUCCAUCUCUCCCAAUUGAAAAAGAUAAUUACUACAUGAGAUAGCACAUAAGAUAAGGGAAAGAAUCUUUCUUUCUCUUUUUUUUUUUAUUUCUAUAUUAUAUAGAUAUGUACAACUUUUAUCAUCAAUUUCCUUUAUCUCUUUAUCUAAAGUAAAGGAAGGGCUCAGAAGAGCCAAGAAUAUCAAGAAAAAUGAAGAAGAACUCUUUUCUUUGUCUUGAUUUUGUUCGAAAGGACCCUCUUUUUCUCAUGUCCUGGUCUGGUUAGUACCCAGCCGGACCUCUUUUGUUCCAACAAAUUUGAAUUUAAAAACAAAAAUGCCUGUUAUAGUUGUAAUAUUUCAUUUUAAUUGAAUAGUUAAUAUUCAAGCAACAAGAAAAAAUUCCCAUUUUUUAUAAAGGUAAAAUAAAAUAUAUGCAAUAGAAAAUUUGAUCAAAAUAAAAGUCUCAUUUCUCUUUCUGCUUUUUGAUUUUAUGUUUACCGCCUUGCUGGACUAAAAAAAGAAGCUUUAGAGGCAUUUUUAUGUUAUGAUUUUAGUGGUUUUUAUGAUUUUAGUAGUUUUGACGAUCCUAUCUUAUCCUGUCUUAAUUACCACAAUUCCCCUGUUUGACAAAAGUUUCAUUUAUAUACAAUAAUCGGAUUGUAGCAGGUAUAGUUUAGUGGUAAAAGUGUGAUUCGUUCUCUUAUCCCUUAAAUAGUUAAAGGAUCCUUCGGUUUGAUUCAUAUUCCAAUCAAAAACUUUAUUUAUUAAAAAGAUUAAAUCCUUUUCCUCUCAAUGACAGAUUCGAGAACAAAUACACAUUCUCGUGAUUGGUAUCCAAAGGUCACUUAGACAUUGAAAAAUUGGAUUAUGAAAUUGCGAAACAUAAUUUUUGAAUUGGAUCAAUACUUCCAAUUGAAUAAGUAUCAAUAAAGGAUCCAUGGAUAAAGAUAGAAAGUUGAUUUCUAAUCGUAACUAAAUUUUCAAUUUCUUAUUUAUAAAGAAGAAAGUGAAGCAAAAUAGCUAUUAAAUGAUGACUUUGGUUUACUAGAGACAUCAACAUAUUGUUUUAGCUCGGUGGAAACAAACUCCUUUUCCUCAGGAUCCUAUUAAAAAGAAAUAGAGAAGGAAAUAACUAGAAAGGUUGUUAGAAUCCCCCUCUUCUAGAAGGAUCAUCUACAAAGAAAUUCUUUUUAUCUGUAUUCAGACCAAAAGAUGACAUAAAUGUUAUGGUUAGAAUUCUUUUUUUUUUCUAAUUUUGUUCACAUCUUAGAUCUUAUACAUUGACUCAUCUCCAUAAGGGAGCCGAAUGAAACCGAAGUUUCAUGUUUGGUUUUGAAUUAGAGACGUUAAAAAAUGAAUUGACGUCGACUAUAACCCCUAGCCUUCCAAGCUAACGAUGUGGGUUCGAUUCCCGCUACCCUCUCUAUAUCUAUUUAUUCUAAAUAUUUUAAUCUAUUCAUUAAAUCAAAUUUAGUUUAUUAGUAUUAGUACAACAUUGAAUAUACAAUUCAAAAAAUUAUUUCACAUCAGAUUCUUUCUAUUUUUUUUCAAACAAAAAGUUAAAAUAUGAAAAAAAAUCAGAAUGAAAAGUGUCCAUUGUCUAAUGGAUAGGACAGAGGUCUUCUAAACCUUUGGUAUAGGUUCAAAUCCUAUUGGACGCAAUUUAUUUCCAUAUACAUAUUUUUUUUAGAUUUCGAUAGCAAGAAAGGCUGUUUGAAUAUUUGAAUCCAGGAUGCUUAAUUCCUUUUUUUAUUAAGAUUAAGACAAGGGUGAUCAAUAUUUCUUUAUGCUUGUUCCUGAAGUAUAAAACGUUCCAUUUAUUCCUGAAUAGCUUCUUUCAAAAGAGCUUCUGCUUCCUCGGUAAAUUUCUUGGUAGGAGAUAUGAUUUCUUGGAACUGAGGUUUAUUAGUUUUUAAGUAAGUACGUAGCUCAACAAGAAAUUUCCUUACCUAUCCAACUUCUAAUGAAUUAAGAUAGCCGUUUGUUCCAGUAUAAAUAGUCAUUAUCUGCUCUGCUACCGGGAGACGAGCCGAUUGAGAUUGUUUAAGUAAUUCACGUAAUCGUUGACCUCUUGCCAAUUGAUUUUGAGUAGCUUUAUCGAGAUCAGAAGAAAGUUGUGCAAAGGCUUCUAAUUCUGCGAAUUGCGAUAGUUCUAAUUUUAAUUUACCAGCUACUUGUUUCAUGGCUUUUAUUUGAGCUGCGGACCCCACUCUGGAAACGGAGAUACCCACAUUAAUAGAAGGUCUGAUUCCAGAAUUUAAUAGGUCAGUGGAUAAGAAGAUUUGUCCAUCAGUAAUGGAAAUUACAUUAGUAGGAAUAUAAGCCAAAACAUCUCCCGAUUGAGUUUCAACUAUUGGUAAGGCGGUCAUACUUCUUUCACCUAAACUAGAACUUAAUUUAGCGGCUCUUUCCAAAAGGCGUGAAUGCAAAUAAAAAACAUCUCCUGGAUAAGCUUCAUGACCGGGCGGUCUUCGUAAUAGAAGAGACAUUUGGCGAUAAGCUUGCACUUGUUUGGAGAGAUCUCAUAAAUGAUUAAAGUGUGUCGUUCAGGAUACAUAAAAUAUUCAGCCAGAGCUGCUCCUGUAUAAGGAGCAAGGUAUUAUAAUGUAGCAGGGGAAUCCACCAUUUCGAUUACCACAAUAGUGUAUUCCAUCGCUCCCCUUCCCUAUAAAGUCAUUACUACCUGGGCCACAGAAGACGUUUUUUGACCAAUAGCUACAUAAACACAUAUUACAUUUUGACCUUGUUGAUUAAGAAUGGCGUCUGUGGCUACUGCUAUUUUAUCGGUCUGUCUGUCCCCAAUAAUUAAUUCUCACUGACCACGUCCUAUAGGGAUAAUCGAAUCAAUAGCAAUAAGCCUGGUUUGAAGAGGCUCAUAUACAGAACGACGCAAAAUAAUACCCGGGGCGGCAGAUUCAAUUAAUCAAAAUUUAGAAGCUAAAAUUUCACCUCUACCAUCAAUAGGUUUAGCCAGGGCAUUUACAACACGACCCAAAUAAGCCUCACUCACGGGUAUCUGAGCAAUUCUUCCCAUUUUUUUUACAGAAUUUCUUUCUUGUAUCAGCAAACCAUCGCCCAUUAGUACAACACCAACGUUAUUUGAUUCCAAAUUCAGAGCAAUGCCUAUUGUACCCUCUUCAAAUUCUACUAAUUCACCCGCCAUUACUUCAUCAAGACCGUAAAUAUGAGCAAUGCCACCACCUACUUGAAGUAUGGUACUGGUAUUUACAAUCUUUACUUCUAUAUUAUAUUGUUCAAUACGUUCACGGAUAAUAUUACUAAUUUCGUCAGCUCGAAUGGUUACCAUGAUUCUUUCUUAUUUUUUUUUUGAAAGAAAAAAAUAAUACCUACAACAGAAAGACUAAUCAGUUAUUUCUUUAAUUGUUCCCAACAUGCCAAUAUUGGCACUAAUGGUACGUAAAUGUAACUCGUUGUUCAAAAAACUAUUUAGAGUUCCUAGAGCUCCUCGUAAGGCUUGUUGGAAAACCCGUUGUCAGACUUGAUUAAUCACCCUUUGCUGUUCAAACUGAAUCAUUUCAUUUUUGUAAUUUUCUAAUUCUUCCAAAGUCUUAUAAGUUGAAUUAAUCAAAGUCAAUUUUUCUCGUUCUAUCUCUGAGUUUCCAUUCACUCGAAACUGCUCGACUUUUGUUUCUACUUUCCGUAAGCAAGAACGAGCUUUUUAGAGUUGUUCAAUAGCCCCUCCACGCAGUUAUUUUGAAUUUUGAAUAGUAUUCAAGAUCCUCUAUUUUUGAUUAUCUAAUAAAUCACUUAAUGAAAGUAGAUUAUUUUUCUAUUCCUUUUCAAAAUUCCAUAAUCCCUUCCCUAACCAAACAUGAAUCUUUCGAUUCAUUUGGCUCUCACACUCAAUUACUUAAGUUAAAUUCUCAUAUGUUUUUUUAUGAAUGUAAUGAGCCUAUCUUCUCUUCUUUGUUGAUAUUCCAAAAAGAUAUCAAAACUAAUGUAAGACCAAAAUAUUCGGAGGACUCUUCUGACAAAAUAAAAAAUAUGUAAUUGUCAGCAAAGUUGUUUCUUUUUUUUUUUUUCAAAUCCAAAAAGCCCUUCUUACUUAGAAUAGGUCAUUGAUUCAGCAUUAGAUAAAGGGGGUAAAAUCCCCGCUUUUACAAUUUACAAUAAGCGGUUAAAAUAAUUUUCUCAAUAUGAGUAUCCUAUAUCGAUAAAAUAUUUAUUUUGAAACCACCUCUAUAUUAACAUAGUGGUAGAAAGAGUACCAUGCUGUGUCUAGACUUCAAAAAGUUUGUUUUAACCAUGUUAAUAGUUCCGCAUUAUUGGUUAAUAGAUAAUCAAAAUCGAUAUACCAAUGAAUCACGAAAUGCUAUGGUUCUUACAUAUAAUUUCUGAAUUUAUACAGAAGUAAUUUGCGAGAUCAUGCACCUCUCUUUCCUACUUAUAACGGAAAAGGGUACAACUAGUUGGUCCAGCCUAUUCUUGAAAUAAACAACCCGCACACACUCCUUUUCCAAAAAAAAUCAAUACACCAAGCACUACACUUAGAUUUAUUGGAUUUGUUGCUAAAAUAUCGGUGGUAAACCUGAAGCUCCUGGCAGAUGGCCAGUGGCCCAAAGAAAAGAAAGAAUCGGUUACGUUUCUCAUAUGAUCUCCUCUUAUAGAUAGACUAAAAAAUCGAACAGAGUUUUUUUGUAGCACUUCGCCCCUCUUUUUAUUUAUUCUUUUAUUUUUUCUGAAAUUGAGUAAAAAAAUAAAAACUAUUCGAGUUAGUUAAAAAUUAUGAACUAAUGAACUAGCCCUUUUAUUGUUUAUUAGAACACUAAAACUUUUUCCCUUAGUCUAUGAAUGGGAAGGGUGAAAGCGAGUCAUUAUGCUAAUUCCUCAUCCGUAAAUCUGCCCUUUCCAUAGGUUCUUUUCUCAAAGAAUAAAGAAUUGGAGGAGGAAAAUUUUGAUAGAAUUUGAAAAAUAAAACAACAAGUGGAAGGCAAUAAAUAUGAAAAAUAUAUUUAUUUUUCAUAUUUCUAAGCUAAGAUUAAACAAAAGGAUAUGCAAAUAAAAGUGUUAAUGCUACAAACAGUCCAUAAAUUGUUAAAGCUUCCAUAAAAGCUAGACUAAGUAAUAGCGUACCUCAUAUUUUUCCCUUUUCCUCAGGAUGUCUCACGAUAACCUCUACAGCUUGACCCGCGACAGUCCCUUGACCAACUCCAGGUCCAAUAGAAGCAAGCCCUAUGGCCAAUCCAGCAGCAAUAACGGAAACGGCAGAAAUCAGUGGAUUCAUGAUAAGUUCCUCGUACCAAAAAAAAAGAAAUGGUUGAUGAUACAAUCAACAAAUGAAUUAUGAAUUAAUUAUUCCCUCUCUAGGACUCAUCCAGUCAAAGUAACUAAGAACUUUGGAUUGAAGUAAUAAGAUGAUUGAAUCAUCAGAACUACUUCGAUAUAUCUUUUUUACUUUUUAGCCACAGUCUUUGUGAACCCAGAUGACUUUCAUUCUCCCAUUUCUUGUUCUUGGUUCGAACUAUUAGUUGAAUUAUUUCUUGAUUUCAUCAGUUUAUUCAUUCAAUUCACAGUCACAAGGGGCCGGAAGGACUUCUAGUCUAUUAGAAUCCCCUAGAGUAGUAAAAUAUAUCUUUAGUUUAUUUCAUAUAUAUCUAGCACGAGUCAAUAUCUAAUAUCACAUAUACAUGUCUUUCUUCCAUAACGUAAACCAAUCAUUCCUCUUAGAUUCAAUCCUAUUGGAGAUCAAGCGUCGAAACAUGUAGAAGGUUUGGCUUAUAGUUAUUCAAGUACAAAUACCUUCCUCUCCUAACCGACCUUUUCUAAAAUACUAAAAAAAAUCCCUUUUUUGUAAAUUCUUUUGAAUCUUACCUUUUCUUAUUAUUCCACCUAGAUAAAUCUAAAUGGACAAAUUGAUUAGGCCGAAUAAUUCCAUAUGUUAUAGAAAUAUCAUUAUUUGGUUGAUCUAAGUUCAUGCAAUUUAUUAAUAAAAAUGAAUAAUUUUUUUAUUCAUUUUUAGUAUUUUGGUCAAUCGUUGAAUAAAAUCAACUGAAAGGGAAAUCAUUUCGCCCUUUAUUUUAUUUAAUUACACGUCGUAAACCUAUACAACAAGAAUUAUUGACAAAAAUUCUUAUAUUCAAAUUGUUUUAACAAUGAAUUAAUUUAACAAUGAAUUAAUAAUGAGUUAAGUUAAUAUAAUAAUGAGAUGGACUAAGCAAUCUAAAGUGAAUAUUCAUUGAGACGAAGUAUGAUAUUAAGUGAAGGAAAAGGGAAUUUUAGGAAAAAGAUCUUUUUUUUUAGAUCUUUUUCCCUUACUCUUUAAUAUCAUCGUAAUUUUUUUGCUAUCACUCUAGAUCGUAUAUAACAUAGUUGUAUAUUUAGAUUCCCCUAUUCUAUUCCCUAAGUUAAGUAAUUCCACCCACCAUAUACAUUUUUUCAUUGCUGUGGGCUAAGCUAAAAAAGACUAUUUCAAUGAUGGCCCUCCAUGGAUUCACCUAUAUAAGCCGCGGCUAAAGUUGCAAAAAUAAGAGCUUGAAUACCACUUGUAAAUAAUCCAAGGAGCAUGACAGGUAUAGGAACUACUAAGGGUACUAAAGAAACAAGAACAACAACUACUAAUUCAUCAGCUAAGAUAUUCCCGAAAAGUCGAAAACUAAGUGAUAAGAGUUUUGUGAAAUCUUCUAAGAUGUUAAUGGGUAAAAGGAUUGGGUUUGGUUGAAAAUAUUUUUUGAAAAAACCUAAUCCCUUUUUUGUAAGACCCAAAUAGAAGUAUUCCACUGAUGUGAGUAAAGCCAAAGAAACAAUAGUAUUUAUAUCAUUCGUGGGUGCGGCUAACUCCCCAUGAGGUAAUUGUAUGAUUUUCCAAGGUAAAAGAGCUCCUGACCAAUUAGAAACAAAAAUAAAUAAAAACAUAGUGCCAAUAAAAGGAACCCAGGGCCCAUAUUCUUCUCCAAUUUGAGUUUUACUCACAUCUCGAAUGAAUUCAAGAACAUAUUCGAAGAAAUUCUGACCCCCGGUCGGGAUGGUUUGUGGGUUCCGAACAGCUAUAGUGGCUGAACCUAAUAAGAUAGCAAUUACAACCCAAGAAGUAAUAAGUACUUGGCCAUGUACUUGGAAACCCCCUAUUUGCCAAUAGAAAUGUUGGCCUACUUCCACACCGGAUAUAUCGUAUAACCCCUUUAGAGUAUUGAUAGAACAUGAUAGAACAUUCAUAUUGCCUUGCCCUCUGAAAAAAUUGAACUUUAAACAAAAUUUUUUGAUUCAACCAUCUCUUUGUCUACUUGAAUCGGAUAUUUGUAAUACCAACUAAGAUUUAUAAUACUAAUAAAUCACAUAAUAUCCCCAGUUAUUUUUAUCUCUUUUUUGAAAUUCAGAAAUAGUAAGCGAUUCCAUAAGGGAUUUCUGAAGUAAGUUAUUUAUCUUAUUAUGUUAUUAUUAAUCAAGGAUUUCUUAUAUAGCUAGAACGACCCUCACAAAUUGCGAAUACUAAUUUAUUAAGAAUUAAUCGGAUUGAGGAUAUGGCGUCAUCAUUCGCUGGAAUUGAAAUAUCUGCGAGAUGGGGGUCACAAUUUGUAUCGGUUAAACAAAUUGUUGGAAUUCCUAAAGUAAUACACUCUCGCAGGGCUGUAUAUUCUUCAUGAUGAUCACCGAUGAUUACAAUAUCGGGUACCCCUAUCAUAUAUUUAAUCCUGCCCAGAUAUGUUUGCAAGCGAGAUAAUUGUCUUUUAAAUAUAGCAGCAUCUCUUUUCGGGAGACGGUUGAGUCUCCCUGUUUUUUGUUCCAUUCCCAAGUCCCUGAACUUAUGAAGUAUUGUUUCUAUAAUGGACCAAUUAGUUAACAUACCUCCAAGCCAUUUUUUAUUAACAUAAUGACAUCGGGCCCUUAUUGCAGCCCACUCUACUGAAUCAGCUGCUUUAUUUUUGGUACCAACAAUUAAGAAUUAUUUUCCCCUACUUGCUGCGUCAAAAACUAAAUCACAAGCUUCUAAUAAAAAAUGAGAAGUUCUAGUAAGAUUUGUAAUAUGAAUAACCUUACGCUUUGCAGAGAUAUAAGGUGCCGUUUUAGGAUUCCAUUUCCUAGUACCAUGACCAAAAUGAACUCCUGCCUCUAUCAUCUCUUCUAAAUUUGUGUUCCAAUAUCUUCUUGCCAUUUCUCCCCACAACCUCCCCCCCGUUUUUAUUCUUAAAAAAAGAGACGAGGAACCCUGAACUGAAAUAAAUAAUUAUUCCGACGGAACCUUCUCUUCUACCAUAGAUUGGACGUAGAUACACGACCCAAACCAUUAUUCUUUUCUAUUCAUUAUUCUUUUUAUUACCAAAGCAAAUAACCAUCCCAAAUGUAGAUAGAUAAAGAGAUGAAUCCUUUGUUAGGAAUCAUUAAAUCCUAUAAAUUAUUGUUCGGGUAUGUCGUGAAAUUUUUUUGAAAGACAAGAAUCAAAUAAUUUUCUGUGGUGGAACAAAAUAUCUCUCAUCUCCCCCUCAAAUAGAUUCUUUUUUUUUUUGUUUCCAAAGGAAUGUUGUUAUGUUGUUUUAAAGGGUGCACUAAUCCUUGAAUCCGGUACCAACGGGUAUCACCCCUUCAAAACAACGUUCUCUUUAAGGCCUUUCAACCAAUUUAUACGACCUCGGAGAGCCGCUUUUGCUAAAACUCGAGCAAUUUCUUGAAAACUCACUUCAGAUAUGAAACUUUGAGUAUUGAGAGAUGCUCUUGCUAUUCCUAAUAAGAUGACUCGGUAACAGAUCGCCUCUUCCAAAGAGCGACCUAUUCGUUCUGCUUGCAACAAUCCAAUAAGUUCUCCAGGUGAAAAAACAUUAGACAGUCCAUCUUCUGAAACCAACAAUUUUGAUGUUAUUUGACGUGCAAUAAUUUCUAUAUUCCUAUUAUGAAUCUGCACCCCCUGGGAGCGAUAAACGUGUUGGAUUUUAUUAACCAAAGAGAUUUGUCUUUGCACUAUAGUUAGCUAAGCACCAAUCAUGAAUCUACAAGGAAUUCCAAGAAUUCUUGUUAUACAUUUAUUCCAACCCUCAACCCUCUUUUCUAGAUUCAUGGAUAUUAAAUCAAUCGAACGCACCUCUAACACCUAUUCUACUUUUGGAAGACCCUGUGUUAUAUCACCAAAUCUUGAUUUUUCAUAUAUAAGUGUAACUAAUGUAUCUCCUUCAUAUAGGGUUUCGCCAUAAUGGCCAUGAACGGUUGCUCCGAUGGUGGCCAAAUAAGGCUUAGCUGAUCGUAUCACUAUCGAGUCAACUUGAACAAGUAUAACUUGACCCGAUUUGAGGGGCGGUCCAUUUUUGGCUAUACAUACAUUUUCACAAGUAAACUGUCCAAGACUAAUUAUUUUAGAUGUCUCUUCACAAUAAUUGUGAUGGAGAAAUGACCAAUUCAAAUUGAAUGGAUUUAAAAUAAUGGUACGACAUGGAUCAGGAUUAAAAAAUUUUCCAUUUUCAUCCAUUAAAUAAUAUUUAAAUUUAAUUACUUGAAAGGUCUGGUUUAAAUUGUCAAGUUGCAAAUAGUUAGUUACUAAGAUCUGAUUAUGAGUUAUUAAAUGGUAAGAUGAAUAAAAAUUCUCAAUUGGAAGGCAUGUUCCUAAAGGGCCCAACGAAUUCCUAAUUGGAAUUAGGGGAUCUUUUUUAAUUGAUUCUUUUAUCACACUGUGAUAUUUUACAUCCUUGAAUGGCCCCAUUCGAGAACAAUUGGCUGCUGACAAAAUUAUCAACGACUGACAUUCCUUAUUUCUAUUCAACAACGUAUGAAUAGUUCCUUGAGGUUGGUUAAGAGAUUGUUGAAUUUUUUCCUUGGAAUAGGAAUAAAUGGAAGAAAAGGGGUUGAUAUUGGUACAAUCUGAUCCAUUAUUAGAGAGCAAUUCUAACCCCGACGGAUCAUUCCUUUUUUCGAUAGACGAAAUAGGGGAUUUUACUAAGUUAAUUCUUAGGAAAUGUCGAAUCAAACCAUUUGUGCUUAUUUCAAAAAAAGAAGCACGGGCUUCUUCGCAAGAACUUUUUUUUGUCUUAGUUCCAAUUCAAUACUAAACAAGUCCGAACUAAUUGAAUAGUUGUGUCAAAAAUUCCUUGAAUCAGUUUGCUAUUUCCAUAAAGGAUAUAAUUGACAAUUCGAAGUUGCACAUCAUCCCUUUCCUGCAAUGGAUCUGGUGGAAAGGGGUUGCUAAAUUUAUACCGUCCGUUAUUUCAUAUGUGACGACAGGUCAAACCAAAACAAAAAACCUUUUCUUUCUAGGUGUAAUCCGUUGGACAUAGACCCAAUUUUUAACUUUUUUGGAUUCCUUGGAAUUUCUUUUUCCUGUUCUUGAUGCCAUCAAAAUGAUGGUAUGUCUGGAUAUCUUAUCUGUCUCUCCGAGAAAAUGGAUAUCUCCAGAAAAGAUUUUAAGUUCAAUUCGUUUGUUUUUCCUCUCCACCCGGACCAACCCACCGACUAGGCUUCUUAGAUUUAAGGUAAUUUGUGUAUCUACCCUAAUGAUACUGUUGUUCUGUACCAUUAUAGAAGAAGAUCCAGGCAAGAUAUGCACCUCUUCAGGAAUGAAAAAAAAUCAAUCUACUUUCAUUUGAUAUUUUGACCGAAAUUCCUUGACUCCUCGAUACUCAAUCAAAUCCUCUUUUUUGAUGACUGAAUGCAUUUCUAUAGUCCCAUAUUUAAUAAUGCCCGAACUCUUUCUUCUGUAUUGAGGAUCAUCGAAAUAAGCAAGAAUACUAUUUCGAUGGAAAUACCAUUUACAGGGAUUUCAAUCGAGAUACCUGAAUAUGGCAUUAGUUGAUUCUCAAGUUCUUGAAUUGGAUAUAGUGGAAUGAUGAAUUUAUUUCUUCUCCUUUUUGACAAUAAAUCAGUAUUCUCGUGGAGCAUAAGCGAAUAUAUGAGAUUAUACUGAACAGUACAUAUGAUUCGAUUAAGGUCUGAAUAAUCAAGAAUCUUAUCUUCUUUUUUAACAUAAAAAUCCAAACUAAAUAAUUUCUGCCUCGCCUGAUCAUUGAUUACUGAGAGGUUAGAAGUAUAUCUUCACUUGCUAGAAAGAGAAUGCACAUUCAUUUGAUCCUGAUCCUUAUGGAUCGAAAGUUAGACUAGACUGAACCUGCAUGGCCCUCCUAAUAAUAUCCAUAAAUGACUUGUUUUUCGUAAUAGAAGAACAUUAUCGUAUGUAAAUUCGGGUGCAUGAUAGACAUCGGUACUACAGUGCAUUUCUCCGUCUGAAUCAGAAUAAAUAUGUUUUUGAACCUUCUCUUUAAAAUUCAAAGUGGAUAUGCCUGUGCGAAUCUCAACAAUUACUUGUUCUGAUUCUACAUAUUGAUCGUUUUGAACUAAAACCAAACUUUUGGGUGGAAUAUUCACAUUAUGUAGAAUAUCUUCACUCUUAAUAGUUACAUACAAGUCUAUAGAACAUAUAAAGGUAGGAUACCCAUGAUGUGUACGUGUCGGAUGAACCAAAUCCUCAUUGAAUUUUAUUUUUCCAUUAGAUGGGGUCACACAUGUUCUGCAGUACCCCCCAUAAAUACUCCUCCGGUAUGAAAAGUUCUUAAUGUUAAUUGAGUACCCGGUUCUCCAAUCGAUUGACCUGCAAUAAUACCUACAACUCCCCCUAACUCAACCAGGUCGCCAUAAGUAGGACUCCGGCCAUAACAUAAUCGACAAAUCCAAGAUGUACUCCUACAAGUAAAGGGAGUUCGAAUAGAUAUUGGUUGUUCCCAAAAGGUUAUGAAUCGAUUUACAAGUCCAAUGCCAAUGUCUUGAUUUCUAGAGGCAAUAUAUCAUGAAUCCAUGUAUAUAUCAUCUGCUAAUACACGGCCAAUUAAUGUUUGACUAAAAAUCCUUUUUGGCAUCAUCCCAUUUCGAGGACUCACAAAAAUACCCCAGGCGGUGCCACAAUCUGUUCGACCGACAAUAAUGUGUUGAACUACUUCAAUAAGUCUUCGAGUGAGAUAUCCAGCGUCUGAUGUUCGUACAGCAGUAUCCACAACUCCUUUACGGGCUCCGUACAAAGAAAUGAUGUAUUCUGUUAAAGAGAGUCCUUCGUGCAAAUUGCUUUGAAUAGGUAAAUAAAUCAUUUGUCCUUGAGGAUCCGACAUUAAUCCUCUCACACCUACUAAUUGAUGUACCUGAGAUGCAUUUCCUCUAGCUCCCGAGAAAGACAUUAUAUGAACUGGAUUAAAAGGGUCAGUCAUCCUAAAAUUUGGAUUCAUUUCUUGUCACAAAUAUUCACUUGUCGCAUACCAUAUUUCAAUGGAUUCGUGUAAUUUUUCUACCAUGUUU